rnacentral:rRNA from 1 species
GAUGAACGCUAGCGGCAGGCUUAACACAUGCAAGUCGAGGGGUAUAGGUUUUCGGACCGAGAGACCGGCGCACGGGUGCGUAACGCGUAUGCAAUCUACCUUUUACAGAGGGAUAGCCCAGAGAAAUUUGGAUUAAUACCUCAUAGUAUAAUGAUUCGGCAUCGAGACAUUAUUAAAGUUCCAACGGUAAAAGAUGAGCAUGCGUCCCAUUAGCUAGAUGGUAAGGUAACGGCUUACCAUGGCGACGAUGGGUAGGGGUCCUGAGAGGGAGAUCCCCCACACUGGUACUGAGACACGGACCAGACUCCGACGGGAGGCAGCAGUGAGGAAUAUUGGUCAAUGGGCGCAAGCCUGAACCAGCCAUGCCGCGUGCAGGAUGACGGUCCUAUGGAUUGUAAACUGCUUUUGUACAGGAAGAAACAGUUCUACGUGUAGAACCUUGACGGUACUGUAAGAAUAAGGAUCGGCUAACUCCGUGCCAGCCGCCGCCGUAAAAC